GGAAUGUGGCUUAGUGGUAGAGUGCUUGCCUAGCAUGCAUGAAGCCCUGGGUUCCAUUCCUUGGUUCCA
rnacentral:tRNA from 1 species